rnacentral:snRNA from 1 species
UAAAAAGGCUUCUGCCGUGAGUGGCACUCAUAGGGCAGCUCGCUUGCUCUAUAUGCAGAAUCAACAUAAAGAGAUUUCCAAAGCAUAAUUUUCUGAUAAUAGGGCAGCUGAUAAUUGUUGGUCCUG